GCAUGAAAGAAUCUCAUAAUUAUAUAUUCUAUAUUAAAUUGACCAAUAUUUAGGAAAAUAAAUACUACAUCCACAGAGAUUUUACACUACACAGAUCAGAGCUCUGAUAAAACUCAUUGACCAGCAUUUUCUAACCAUCUGUGCAUGACUAAUUUACUCCACUGGUCAUUUCAGAUCAGGCUGUUCCAUGUGAUUAUUUUGGGGAGAAAUAACAUUAUAAAUUUCAUAUGAAGAAUGUGUCUAGAAGGACAUUGCAAUCUUUUUUGUACAAAAAUUUGUAAUGAUCUUUAAAACCUAUAUAUCUAUUAGCUAUUUGAUAUUUUCUUUUACCCUCAAAGAAUAAAAGUUAAAAUGAUGAGCAGAUAAACCCUGCUUUACAUAAUGAUAGACCUGUCCAGUAACUGUUGUAAAUUUUGAAUUCUAAGAUAUCUGGGUCAGCAAAGAGUGCAAAUGGAUGUACUUGAUAUUUUAGCAGUUUUGGAGAUAUUGUUUUGUUUAAGACUUUAAAGUGUUUAAGUAUUGGUAUGAUAACAAUUAGAAUCACCUGGGACAAAGAGAUAUACAACAGAAUCAGGCUGGGACAUAAGUGCUGACUGUGAGAAUUACCAACAGUGUUUAAUAAUGAUGUGCAGUAUUAAUCCUGAAAAGGUGAGCACAACCACAAGAAGUUCUAGGAAACACAGGCAGAGGACUGAAAAUGGACAUCAAUAAAAGAAAUAGUAAUUUAAAUAAUCAGAAACACUUGAAACAAAUUUAAGAUUAAAACAGCUAGUUUCUCAUUGACAGAUUAAGAGCAAAAUAAUUGCUAAAAUUUAUAAGACAACAUGAACCUAGCUACCAAACCUGCAGCUAGAAAAAAAACUGUUUGUGCUAUAGUGAAUGUAGGAUGUUCUAUUCUGUAUUUGGACUAAAGGAUAUGUAUUAAAUUUUGUGAAAGAAAUAUUUUAUCAUGUUAAACUAAUAAAAAUUCCACCCAAAACAUUCCUGUGCUGAAUUCCGUCAGAGAAUUUUAAAUUUUAAGAACAUUCAGGGAGGCUGGAAUUAG